AUUGAACGCUGGCGGCAUGCUUUACACAUGCAAGUCGAACGGUAACAGGCCGCAAGGUGCUGACGAGUGGCGAACGGGUGAGUAAUGCAUCGGAACGUGCCCAGUCGUGGGGGAUAACGCAGCGAAAGCUGCGCUAAUACCGCAUACGAUCUAUGGAUGAAAGCGGGGGACCGUAAGGCCUCGCGCGAUUGGAGCGGCCGAUGUCAGAUUAGGUAGUGGGUGGGGUAAAGGCUCACCGAGCCAACGAUCUGUAGCUGGUCUGAGAGGACGACCAGCCACGCUGGGACUGAGACACGGCCCAGACUCCUACGGGAGGCAGCAGUGGGGAAUUCUGGACAAUGGGCUCAAGCCUGAUCCAGCAAUGCCGCGUGCAGGAAGAAGGCCUUCGGGUUGUAAACUGCUUUUGUACGGAACGAAACGGUCCUGGUUAAUACCCGGGGCUAAUGACGGUACCGUAAGAAUAAGCACCGGCUAACUACGUGCCAGCCGCCGCCGUAAAAC
rnacentral:rRNA from 1 species